rnacentral:lncRNA from 1 species
GGGUGGGGGAGGGUAUUGCUGCAGUGGAUCCUGGGCUGGUGGGGGAGGGGUUAGGAACAGCACAGACACUCCUUAAGAAUCUGUCAUGCGAGUCAUAUUAAUGUGUUAGGGAAGAAUACUUUAAACUUUACAUUGAGGUUUCCCUACUGGAAAGGCACCUGGGGGAAGUGGUUCCCCUCUGUAGGUAUUUCUUCAGACUGCCAAAUGAUGUUUUGUUGCAGAGCAAAAACAUCACUCAGCUGCCAGUAGUAACAAUGUUGACCAGGUAGCCACCUACCUCCCAGGAUAAAAUAAAGCUGAGAGUAAGGAAAAGAUGACUUGGAGUAAGCGAGGAGGGAAGAAAAAAUGAAGAGGGGAAAGAAGGACCUUGCUGGUAGAACAAAGCUUUAUGCCUCAUCAUCCAUAUGGUGACCCUGUCCUGUUCCCCCCGCCCCCUCCUCAAUCUGAUCCGGGCAUCACCACCUUGAGGCUGAUCCAGGCACUGCACAGCACACUGAUGCCUUUUUCCAAAAAGGCACGGGGCUGUUCUUUGAAUACUAAACAAUAUCUGCAGGGAGGUCAUCAGGCAUGGCAUCCCCCUCUUUGGGGAAGGUGAUCUUGCUGCCUUCCUUCCAUCUAUGCUUAAUAGGAAUAUACAAGACCUUGCCCUUAGUGUGUACAGUUCACCUAUCAGGAUGGAAGUGCCGCCUCUGAUAUUCACGGCCUUGGUGGAGCCAUGGCUGGUCUCCCCCAGAACACCUGCAGCUCAUGAACCAGAGGCUGUCUCCAUUUGCUCAGUAGAUGUGCUGGACCACUGAUCACAGAGGAACUAGAAGUCAUGAGACAGGAACUUUCCGUCAAUAAACCUUCACAGAAACCUUUUCCCGUUCCUCCUUUCCUUCUUUCCUGUUAUAUGAAAAGAGGUUUCCUUCCUAACCUCAAUGAGUACACUUCCUGAAAUGUCCUUAUUGAGAGAGCUAAACCCUCGUCUUGACGCACUGAGCCCCCUUGCCAGGUAUCCUCUCGUCCCCUCCCUCUCUUUAGGAGGCACCCAGCUUCUUUCAUUAUUUUAAGCUUCUAUUACAGAAAUGUUUAAACAUGCACAAGAGCAGUGGAACUUCCCAUGUACCCCUCACCCCACUUUCACAGUCAUCAUCUGGCACGUGUGAUACGGCCCAUCUCCUACACUACGGUUAAGGGGCAAAAGCCCAUGGGAACAUCCUGCCAUCCGUCUCUCAGGUGUAUGCUUUGUGCCCAUGUCACAGCUCUCACGUUUCUUUGACAUUUACUACCUGUGGAGCUCACUGACCCAAAACAGAUGGACAGAGCCAUGGGGAGGAAACGCACUGAGCUUCAGAUGCUCUGGCCAUGGCCAUCAGUUCUGCUCAGCCCUGUAGUCAAGCCUGAGAAGUCACUGAGUUAACUCCUCCCUCCACCCCACGCAGAAAGGAAUCUUCCUAAGCAAGUGCAGUGCACGGUGUUGCAGUCCCUCAGUCACACAGUGACUGCAGCACGUAGAGAGCACAGAAGGAGAAACCUGUACAUGUGAUAAGGACUUCACAUCACCAUGCAAGUGUUUUCAAAGAUUUAGAAUAAAGUUUCUUUCCUGUAAUACAUUUAAAACGAGCUACUGUAUGAUGAGUUAAACACAGGAGAUCAAACACUUUUUUAUCUCCUCUCCUUCCCCAAAAGUAAAAUAUUACAUGAAAAGAUGCUCCACAUCAUUAGUCACCAGGGAAAUGCAAAUCAAAACCACUGUGAGAUAGCACUUCACACACAGGAUGGCUAGAAUCAAAAAAUUAGAUAAUAGCAAGUGUUAGAAGGCCGAGAAACUGAAACCCUUCUAUGCUGCUGGUCGGUAGGAAAAAUGGUGCAGCUGUUUUGGAAAACCGUCUGGCAGUUCCUCAAAAGUUAAACACAGAAUUACCAUAUUACCUAGAAACUCCACUUCUAGCUAGACACUCAAGAGAAAUGAAAACAUAUGUCCACACAAAAACUUGUACACAAAUGUCCAUAGCAGUAUUAUUCAUAACGGUCAAAAGACGGAAACAACCUAAACGUCCAUCAACUGACGAAUGGGUAAAUAAAUUACGGUAUCUCCACACAAUGUAAUAUUUUUUGGCAAUAAAAAGUACUGAUACAUGCUACAAUAUGCACAAACCCUGACAACAUUACGCAAAAGUGAAAGAGGCCAGUCACAAAUAACCUCAUAUGAUUCCAUUCAUACGAAAUGUCCAGAACAGGGAAAUCUAGAGCGAGAGGAAGUAGACUAGUGGUUGCUUAGGGCUGGGGGGAUGAGAGGACAGGGGCAUGACAGCUAAAGGUUAUGAAGUUUCUUUUUGAAGUCAUGAAAAUGUUUUAAAAUUGACUGUGGUGAUGGUUACCCAUCUGUGAAUAUACUAAAAAUCAUGGAAUUAUACACUUUAAAUGGGUAAGUUGUAUAGUAUGUGAACUAUAUUUCAAUAAAGCUGCUAAAACAAGCAAAGGAUUUAAAAAGAAUAAGGCCCUUGAGGAUGACAAGAAGGGGAGAAGAUAUGACAAAAGAUGUCAACACAUUUUUUGAAGACGGAAAUCCAGUGCAGGAGUGGUAACUGACUAGCAGAGCAGAGGCAAGUGCCGGCAAACCAACUCACGCCACAAAACCCCAGAAGACGGACGACCCAGUGGCACCAGAUAAGGAAGAAAUUAAG